ACGUUUGAGUUGGCGGUUGGCGGUUACUUCAAGAUGGCGAGUAAGGCCCGUCUCUUUACCUCAGGAGGGGAUUUGAGUUCAUGAACAAUGUGAGCAUAAGAUAUCCAAGAGAAAUCAGCAGCAUAUUAUAUAUAAAUGCAUCGUGAGGAAAAGCAGUUUGCCAUAUAAGGAACAGUAUACUGUAGGCAAGUAAUUGCAGGAACGUGUAUCUGAAGAAGUGUGCCUUCACACGAAAGCUUAGUUGGUCUCUAAGGUGCUACUGGGCAAUUUAUUAUUAUUAUUAUUUAUCUAUUUUGACUGCCUCAGACCAACACAGCUACCUACCUGAAUCAUGUCCUAUUUUGUUUUCCAUGCAGUCGUUAUCUGCAUAUACUGUUCCUUUCUCUUAUUUUUCGCCUAGACUGUCCUCUUCCCUGAGAGCCAUUUACUGUAUAUAUAAUUUUUGUUGAUUUCUCUUUGGUAUUAUUAUGCUCACAUCUUUUAGGAACUAAAAGAGGGCUGGUGUUGAUCGGCUGUCACUACAGCAAUUGGGUGGCCGAUUGGUGGCUUCUGCCAGCGAGGGGACAGGCAGACAAUAGGUGGGCUUUGCGACGCGGACGAGUGGCAGCGUAGGUCCGGCGGCUCUCCUGAACCUUCAGGCUGACUCGGACCUGGCUGUGUCCACCGCUGGAAAGGCUGCCAGUGAGGUUAGAUGGUGCGGCAGUCAGAUCACCGGAGCAAAAUAACGCCUGAUUAGAGGACUAUUACUGAGAGACCAUCAACACCUGCCUCAACAUUCUCACCAGCUUGUUGUCGGAGGCCCCCCCUCUGGAGACGCUGCAGGAUAUAUUAGUGGCUACCAACGUUUUGCACUUCCUUCUCAAACUACCUGAGGCUGUACAUAUAGUGGAGGACAAGUUCGGCCACCUCCUGCUUGCCCUGGCCACCCAACUAUACUUCCUCCUUGGGGCGAGCAGAAGAUUUUCGAGGGGGGCACCAAGCCUCAUCACCGGCCCCCGCCUCGACCCGCUGGCGUAAGGGACCUGCUAAUACAUUUGGGGUGGCCCUCCCUCCCUUCUCUCUCUGGGCGCUUGCAAGCGUGACCCGUGGCCGUCAUGGCUCAGCCCUCACCAAAGAGAUAGGCUUCAUUUGGAGAUGGAGGCCCUGCUUCCCCAAGCCCUGUGCUCUUCAGUCCUUUUGGAGCACAACUCCCACCAGCCCCAGCCAGCGCAACUGGGCUGAAGAUGCGAGUUGUUGUAGUCCAAAACAUCGGAAGGACACUAGGAUGGGAAGGGAUGUUGGAGACUCUCCCGCCCGCACGAUGGAUGGGCUGAUUGGGGUGCCAUGGAACCUGAAGUCUCCAUCACGUGCUGGAAAGAUGUGGGAGGGAGGCUGCGGGAGCUGGGGGUUGUGGCUGGAUCCAUCAGGCCAAGCAGCUCAAGACUGCAAGCUGCCAAGGACCUCCAACUCCCCAGGUGAAGCUACCCAUCAUCGGAGGCCCCUCUUCAUGUGCGUCCGGCGGGUGGGGCCUUUUCUGUGGUGGCUCCCCAUGAGUGGGACGCUCUUCCCCAGGGAGGCUUGCCUGGUGCCUUCCUUAGAUACCUUUA